rnacentral:lncRNA from 1 species
CCAGCAGCAACAUGAUGGAGACCAGCAGUACUUCUUGAUCCGGUAUCUGAAUCAUUGGUCGUCAGUGUUUCCGCGGAAAGCGUGUAGAGGGAGAUGGUUCUGCCGAUAACCGGCACACUAAGGUAGGUGUAGGUCUGGACGCUGGUGCUGUUGGAGGCGCGCCGGUCGAGCUCAGCCAUCACUCAGCCGGGCAGUACUUUGAGCUGUCACAGAAAUAUCAUGAUCAUCUUUUAGCGAAUACAAAGGUGUUUAUAACUUCAUAAGCAAAGACAUGUAGUGUUGCUUGUAUAUUGAGAGAUACUACAGGAAUUGACACAGUCAUAGCUUUCUUUCACAUGUAACAGGCUAGGCGGGGCGGUCGAUUUGCAGCGGGGUGGCGUGAGGAAUAUCUCGUUUGGAAGAGCAGGUGGAGUACAAGGUCGCGUCAAGGUCCAAUGACCAGAAUAUCGGCUCCACAGAGGACGCCAUCACAGGUGCGGUCCAAUGACCGGAAUAUCGGCUCCACAGAGGACGCCAUCACAGGUGCGUUGAUCUCAAUCUUCUCCUCCAUUGCCAUUGUCUUCAUUACCCGUGUGUGUAGCAGGUGUGCUCUCACACUCAAGAAUUUUCAGUACGUGAUGGGUUCUUUCUAAUUCAGAUCUUGCUUGCCUUAUCGUGACAUCUUCUUUGCCAUGGUAAGCACAUCAUGGUUCGUUCGCCCUCAUGACUUUUUAUUAUGACAUUAAUGGAGUUCAGAAAGCAGUUUUAGUGAAGAUCGAAUGGUUUUUAGAUUAAGUAGAUAAUACAAGAGUACUCUUCUGUAGUGUAUUGUUGUUCAACUGAGACAUAUGCAGUGG